rnacentral:lncRNA from 1 species
GUCAAAGUCCUCAACUGAUUGCCACUGGAAUCUCUAUUCCAAGGGGUUGAUACAGCAUCUACUAUACUCCUGGAAUUGAGAAACCUCUGCAUGAAGUGAGAAUUGGUGAAGAGGAUUUCGAACAUCUUGUCUGCAGUGAUGUGGAAAACUCUGUUUAUAAAAAGUCUUCCAUAGACAUCAUUCUCAGAGGCAGUCUCUUUUACUGCUAAAGAAAGGCAGGGGGAUCAGGUUAAAAAAAGCAACAACAACAUUAUGAAGUUUCUUCAUAGUAUUAAGCUUUAUUACAGCUCAAAUCCUUUCUAAUCUUGCAUCAGUAAUUGCUUCUUAUUCCCAGAAACCCAGAAGUGACAGCAACACAUCAUUUUGUAAUAAGAUGGCUUUGAGGAACAAAGUAAAGAGCUCAUUUUCUA